CAUUAUUCUGCACCAGUAUCUUCAGAUGCUGUCCGUGGGGAACUAAGCUGCUUUCUAUCUAAAACUGCAAAGAGCGAUGGAGAGUUUAGGCAAAGACCUUGCCUAUUCAGACUCGUCCCAGCCACCCUCUGCAAACAGGGAGGAGUAUGCCGUGCCAGAUGUCAGCAACACCCGUCGCUUGAGAGACCGGGAAAUGCUCCGGAAAAGAAGAGCUGAAGCCCACGAGAAAGACUCAGUUCAGUGGGUUCUGAGGGAUUACAAGAUCAAACGGCAAAGGAGAAGCAGAGGAGGCAGGCGAGGACGAGGCCACCAGCCUGUGAUGGAGCCCAGCCAGGAGCCAGAACUGGAGCUGGAUCCCGAGCCCAACCCGCAGGAGGAGGCUGGGCCAAUGCCCUCCAGUCCAGCACUGCCUGAGCCGGUGCAUCAAUUGCCCGUGCUGACAAUCCAGGACCUGGUCAGUGAGAUGCAACUGGGAGCGUCAGAGGGGGAGCAGGGAGCCAUGAUCGAGGAUCCUGUGGGCCGUGUAGGUGAAGAAGACCUGCUGAAACCAGCAGAAGGAGAAAUACCAGAAGCUUUGAAUAUUCCUCUGGAAAAUGAAUACCAGGAUGAUGAGUACAGCACAGAUAUUCUAUUUUAAUUUGCUCUUGGUUUUUUUUUUUUUUUUUUAAUGUUUUGACUCCUGCAUGAUAAACUGGACCAGCUCUUUCCUUGUGAGUAAUAAAGCCCGCACUUUCCUGGUCACUCUGCUUUCUAUGCU
rnacentral:lncRNA from 1 species